rnacentral:rRNA from 1 species
GGCCAGCAGCCGCGGUAAUACGGAGGAUGCAAGCGUUAUCCGGAUUCAUUGGGUUUAAAGGGUGCGCAGGCGGAUUGGUAAGUCAGGGGUGAAAUCCCACAGCUCAACUGUGGAACUGCCUUUGAUACUGUCAGUCUAGAGUAUAGUUGAAGUUGGCGGAAUGUGUCAUGUAGCGGUGAAAUGCUUAGAUAUGACACAGAACACCGAUCGCGAAGGCAGCUAGCUAAGCUAUAACUGACGCUCAUGCACGAAAGCGUGGGGAUCAAACAGGAUUAGAUACCCUGGUAGUCCACGCUGUAAACGAUGAUUACUCGAUGUUGGCGAUACACAGUCAGCGUCUGAGCGAAAGCAAUAAGUAAUCCACCUGGGGAGUACGAUCGCAAGAUUGAAACUCAAAGGAAUUGACGGGGGCCCGCACA